UACAUGGGGUGCAAACGUUGCUCGGAAUUAUUGGGCGUAAAGCGCACGUAGGCGGUCCGUUAAGUCAGAUGUGAAAGCCCCCGGCUCAACCGGGGAAGUGCAUCUGAAACUGGCGGGCUAGAGUACGAAAGAGGGUCGCGGAAUUCCCGGUGUAGAGGUGAAAUUCGUAGAUAUCGGGAGGAACACCGGUGGCGAAGGCGGCGACCUGGGUCGAUACUGACGCUGAGGUGCGAAAGCUAGGGGAGCGAACGGG
rnacentral:rRNA from 1 species